AGUGACCAUGGAUCCUGGUUUUAUUUUUGAUUCUCUGUCAUGAAUACCUGUAUCCCAUUUAGAACUUAUGAAAGAUUCUACAGGUCAAAGUGAGUUUAAUGAAGAUAGAAUUUGUGGCAGCCCUUAAGCUGACUGACAUCAUCCUUGAUUUCCCCAAUCAAGCUCUCUGAAGCUCUCCAUAGCAUGACUGAAAGAUGAUUUUUCUAAUAGAAAGUAUUUGCCUAAACUGGAACUUAUGGUGUAGCUAUUUCUUUGUGGAUUUGUCUGAAAGCCUAAGAGCUGUGCAACCAUCAUGACAGUCUCACUUCAAAGAGACAUCGGUACUUCUUAGCAGUUACUGCUCAUUCCUCCCUCCACUCAUCCCUGUCAGCUACUAAUCUGCUUUCUGCCUCUGUAGAUCUGCCUGUUCUGGACACUUCCUAUAAAUGGAAUCACACAAUAUGUGG